CAGCAGCCGCGGGAAUACAGAGGAUGCAAGCGUUAUCCGGAAUGAUUGGGCGUAAAGCGUGCGCAGGCGGUUAUGUAAGACAGGUGUGAAAUCCCCGGGCUUAACCUGGGAACUGCGCUUGUGACUGCACAGCUAGAGUAUGGCAGAGGGGGGUGGAAUUCCACGUGUAGCAGUGAAAUGCGUAGAGAUGUGGAAGAACACCGAUGGCGAAGGCAGCCCCUGGGCCAAUACUGACGCUCAUGCACGAAAGCGUGGGGAGCAAACAGGAUUAGAUACCCGGGUAGUCCCUGUCUCUUAUACA
rnacentral:rRNA from 1 species